rnacentral:rRNA from 1 species
UACAGAGGUCCCAAGCGUUUGUUCGGAUUCACUGGGCGUAAAGGGCGCGUAGGCGGUCGUGACAAGUCACUUGUGAAAUCUCCGGGCUUAACUCGGAACGGUCAAGUGAUACUGUCGGACUAGAGUACAGAAGGGGCAACUGGAAUUCUCGGUGUAGCGGUGAAAUGCGUAGAUAUCGAGAGGGAACACCUGCGGCGAAGGCGGGUUGCUGGGCUGAUACUGACGUGAGGCGCGAAAGCCCAGGGGGAGCGAACGGG